rnacentral:rRNA from 1 species
UACGUAGGGUGCAAGCGUUAAUCGGAAUUACUGGGCGUAAAGCGUGCGCAGGCGGUUGUGCAAGACAGAUGUGAAAUCCCCGGGCUUAACCUGGGAAUUGCGAUGGAGACUGCAAGGCUAGAAUCUGGCAGAGGGGGGUAGAAUUCCACGUGUAGCAGUGAAAUGCGUAGAGAUGUGGAGGAACACCGAUGGCGAAGGCAGCCCCCUGGGUCAAGAUUGACGCUCAUGCACGAAAGCGUGGGGAGCAAACAGG